GAUGAACGCUGGCGGCGUGCCUAAUACAUGCAAGUCGAGCGAACAGACGAGGAGCUUGCUCCUCUGACGUUAGCGGCGGACGGGUGAGUAACACGUGGAUAACCUACCUAUAAGACUGGGAUAACUUCGGGAAACCGGAGCUAAUACCGGAUAAUAUAUUGAACCGCAUGGUUCAAUAGUGAAAGACGGUUUUGCUGUCACUUAUAGAUGGAUCCGCGCCGCAUUAGCUAGUUGGUAAGGUAACGGCUUACCAAGGCAACGAUGCGUAGCCGACCUGAGAGGGUGAUCGGCCACACUGGAACUGAAGCACGGUCCAGACUCCUACGGGAGGCCGCAGUAGGGAAUCUUCCGCAAUGGGCGAAAGCCUGACGGAGCAACGCCGCGUGAGUGAUGAAGGUCUUCGGAUCGUAAAACUCUGUUAUUAGGGAAGAACAAAUGUGUAAGUAACUAUGCACGUCUUGACGGUACCUAAUCAGAAAGCCACGGCUAACUACGUG
rnacentral:rRNA from 1 species